CUUAUACUCCCUCCGUCCGAAAAUACUUGUCAUCAAAAUGGAUGAAAGGGAAUAUAUUUAGAUGUAUUUUAGUUUUAAAUACAUCUCUUUUUAUCUAUUUUGAUGACAAGUAUUUUCGAACGAAGGGAGUAUUAG
rfam:Triticum aestivum genome assembly, contig: Triticum_aestivum_CS42_TGACv1_scaffold_094373_2AL